CAGUUCAGAUUGCAGGCUGCAACUCGCCUGCAUGAAGUUGGAAUUGCUAGUAAUCGCGAAUCAGAAUGUCGCGGUGAAUACGUUCCCGGGCCUUGUACACACCGCCCGUCACACCAUGAGAGUUGGGAAUACCCGAAGCCUGUGAGCUAACUUUUAGAGGCAGCAGUCGAAGGUAGAAUCAAUGAUUGGGGUGAAGUCGUAACAAGGUACC
rnacentral:rRNA from 1 species